GAAGCAUGGCUGGGGAGGCCUCAGGAAACUUACAAUAGUGGAAGGCAGAGAGGAAGCAGGCAUGUGCUACAUCACUUGAGCAGGAGGAAGAGAGAGUGAAGGGGGAGGUGCUACACAUUUUUGAACAACCAGAUCUUGUGUGAUCUCACUCACCAUCAUGGGAACAGCAAAGGGGAAAUCCUCCCCAUGAUCCAGUGACCUCCCACCAGGCCGCUCCUCCAACACUGGGGAUUCCAAUUCCACCUGAGAUCUGGGCAGGGACACACAUUCAAACCAUAUCACCUGAAAAGAAGAAAUGCGUGAGGAUUGAAAUUGGCAACCAAUCUUUGAAAGCCUAGUAGACACCCGAUGCCUUCAACAUGUCUUAUAUGACCCUUGCCUCCAGCCUGUAAGGCUGGAGUGCAGUGGUGUGAUCUCAGCUCACUGAAACCUCCGCCUCCCGGAUUCAAGCAAUUCUCUUGCCUCAGCCUCCUGAGUAGCUGGGAUUACAGCAUUCUGGUGACUUCAUCCGGUGUGUGUAACACAGGCCUUCCAUGGUCAUGCGAACACAAUGAAAUGAUGUCAUUCCCCGGCAUCCCUGGCCCAGCGCCCACGGUUUCCGACGAUGCUCCAGCCAUUCCUGACUGCACAGGAUGGGGUAGGCCUUGGCCUCUCGCUGAAUGGUUUAAUUGAAAGACAGUGGAUGCCAACGCAUCAGAAGCUUCUUUCCUUUUUGUUCAUCCCAAUGAAAUCUCCCAAUUAUCUGCAAAAGGAAUGUUGAGAGGUUUUGUCGGGGUAUGGCCCUGGAGAGGGAACAAGAUGACUAGUAGGUUAAAAAGGAGACAGAUGAAACUUUUGUGUCUAGAAUGAAAAAAUUCUGAGCACAUUCACAGAUGGCUUGUGUAUCAAGGAAGUCCCAGUGGCUAGUUACAGCAACUCAUGCACUAAUGUGAACAGAGCUUUUGAUUUCAUGGUUUAAAAUAAAAUGACCCAAAUAUAAUUACUAAAGCUUAUUAAUGUGUUUGUUCUGGGUCAGUAACCCUUUACUGGCCGCAGGAGCUUUUUACAUAAGGGGCAUGAGAAUUAGAGCUUUCUAUUUGGAAUACUUUGAUUCUUCCAUGGAAGCAGGAAGAAAUAAUCAACAAACUGCUUGUUUUAAUAAUUGUACCCUAUUAUGAACCACUUGAUAUUUAAUUUUUAAAGAAUUAGCUUAAUUUUGCAGAAGAAGUAGUGUCAAAGCAAUACCGCACAACUUAUCAGCACUCAAUACCGGUCAGUUGAUAUUUUAAAAAGUGGCACCGUAGGGCUAACCUGGUUGUAGUAGAAAGACGAGCAGUUGCAGAAAGAGCUUCUCCUUUGUUGGCAAAAGUACAAAAGACAAAAAUAAAAAGCAAGUGUGAAAAGUUGGAAAGAAACAUGCCUACGAUUUUAUUCUUGUACAGAGAAAACAGUUUUUCUUUAAUACCUUUCUUUAGAAAUUUGUAUGAAUUUUUAAAAUAUUUUGAGAACUCAGGUACUAAAAGUAAGGUUU
rnacentral:lncRNA from 10 species